CCUACGGGAGACAGCAGUGAGGAAUAUUGGUCAAUGGCCGAGAGGCUGAACCAGCCAAGUCGCGUGAGGGAAGACGGCCCUACGGGUUGUAAACCUCUUUUGUCGGGGAGCAAAGCGCGUCACGUGUGACUCCUUGAGAGUACCCGAAGAAAAAACAUCGGCUAACUCCGUGCACGCAGCCGCGGUAAGACGGAGGAUGCGAGCGUUAUCCGGAUUGGUUGGGUUUAAAGGGUGCGCAGGCGGAGUUGCAAGUCAGCGGUCAAAUUGCGGGGCUCAACCCCGUACUGCCGUUGAAACUGCAGCCCUUGAGUGCGCGAGAAGUAUGCGGAAUGCGUGGUGUAGCGGUGAAAUGCAUAGAUAUCACGCAGAACUCCGAUUGCGAAGGCAGCAUACCGGCGCGCAACUGACGCUCAUGCACGAAAGCGUGGGUAUCGAACAGGAUUAGAUACCCCUGUAGUC
rnacentral:rRNA from 1 species